UGGGGAAUAUUGCACAAUGGGCGCAAGCCUGAUGCAGCCAUGCCGCGUGUAUGAAGAAGGCCUUCGGGUUGUAAAGUACUUUCAGCGGGGAGGAAGGCGAUAAGGUUAAUAACCUUGUCGAUUGACGUUACCCGCAGAAGAAGCACCGGCUAACUCCGUGCCAGCAGCCGCGGUAAUACGGAGGGUGCAAGCGUUAAUCGGAAUUACUGGGCAUAAAGCGCACGCAGGCGGUCUUUCAAGUCGGAUGUGAAAUCCCCGGGCUCAACCUGGGAACUGCAUUCGAAACUGGCAGGCUAGAGUCUUGUAGAGGGGGGUAGAAUUCCAGGUGUAGCGGUGAAAUGCGUAGAGAUCUGGAGGAAUACCGGUGGCGAAGGCGGCCCCCUGGACAAAGACUGACGCUCAGGUGCGAAAGCGUGGGGAGCAAACA
rnacentral:rRNA from 1 species